GCUCAGCCACCUCUGAUUCUGACUUAUCAAGUUCAUCAUCCUGUGUGGAGGCAGGAUUUCCACCGGAUAAAUUCAUUAAAGAAGUGAAUUCUACGUUGUUACAAGAGGAAUCUUCUAAAGGUAAAAAAGGGUUUCCAAUACAACAAUCUCUUAUUGAUCUAAUACAAAGAAAACAGAAGAACCCAGAGAAACAAGCAUUUAUUUC